rnacentral:tRNA from 1 species
GCCUGGGUGGCCCAAUCAGUUGAGCGUCUGACUUCAGCUCAGGUCAUGAUCUCACGGUUCGUGAGUUCAAGCCCCGCGUCAGGCU